rnacentral:misc_RNA from 1 species
GAUGAAGAACGUAGCGAAAUGCGAUACUUGGUGUGAAUUGCAGAAUCCUGUGAACCAUCGAGUCUUUGAACGCAAGUUGUGCCCGAAGCCAUUAGGCCGAGGGCACGCCUGCCUGGGCGUCACACGUCGUUGCCCCCCCAUCUACUCCUUCGGGAUUGCGGGGGGCGGAUGAUGGCCUCCCGUGCGCCUCGUCGCGCGGUUGGCAUAAAUGCCAAGUCCUCGGCGACGCACGCCACGACAAUCGGUGGUUGCGAAACCUCGGUUGCCCGUCGUGUGCGGUCGUCGCGCAUCGAGGGCUCGAAAAAAUUGUCGGGCUCCGGCUCGGCUUUCAACGCGACCCCAGGUCAGGCGGGGUUACCCGCUGAAUUUAAGCAUAUCAAUAAGCGGAGGA